rnacentral:rRNA from 1 species
CCUACGGGGGGCAGCAGUGGGGAAUAUUGGACAAUGGGCGAAAGCCUGAUCCAGCCACGCCGCGUGUGUGAAGAAGGCCUUCGGGUUGUAAAGCACUUUCAGUGGGGAAGAAAGCCUUGGGGCUAAUACCCUCGAGGAAGGACAUCACCCACAGAAGAAGCACCGGCUAACUCCGUGCCAGCAGCCGCGGUAAUACGGAGGGUGCGAGCGUUAAUCGGAAUUACUGGGCGUAAAGCGCGCGUAGGCGGUCUGAUAAGCCGGUUGUGAAAGCCCCGGGCUCAACCUGGGAACGGCAUCCGGAACUGUCAGGCUAGAGUGCAGGAGAGGAAGGUAGAAUUCCCGGUGUAGCGGUGAAAUGCGUAGAGAUCGGGAGGAAUACCAGUGGCGAAGGCGGCCUUCUGGACUGACACUGACGCUGAGGUGCGAAAGCGUGGGUAGCAAACAGGAUUAGAUACCCUGGUAGUC